AUGAAUAUCCUGACAGCUUUUCAAGACCAAUAAUCACACUAUCCUUUUAUCUUGAUUUAGAAACUAGGCAAAAGCUUUGAAAUGAGAGGAGGGUUGCUGACUUGUUAGUUUCCUCUCUGUGCCUCCUCCCCUGAAACGAUGCAAUCCUCUAUCAUACAACAGAAGCUACUUCUUGCUGCCGCGUCUCCCACCACAGACAGGCCUAGAAGACUUACAGCUGUACCCAAAUUUCACUCUCUAUACGUGCAGAGCAUCUAACUCCACAGUCCGUGCCUUGCUAACAACAAGAAAUGAUUCAGCUGUGUGUUCAUAUUACAGACGCACAAGUUACUCACACAACCAUAAACCAGGGGCAUAGCAGAGCUGUUUAUGGGACACAGCUGGGGCUUCACUAUCAGUGUAUGACUUAGGACUAUACAGAAAGUAUACUCAACGCUGGACUGUGUAAUUUAUAUUGAUCUCUAAAAAUGUGGCACUCGUCUGCUACAUGUUUUAUUAUGAUGGUGCAUUUCGAUACACGGAUGGAAAGCUAAAAGGCUGCACUGUAAACAAAGAUCAAAAAUGGAAAUCAAGAGAAGCGCACAACAGUGAUGGUUCCUUGGAGGCCUGCCAUAUGAGUGACACCCGUCACAGGAUGAUAAAUGACUCCAUUUUCUGCCUCUCUUGCCUUCUGCCACUCCAGGAGAGGGUCGUUUAUCAUAAUCUCUGUCAGUGAGGGAAAGUAGCCCUGACAGUGCAAGUCAGCAAACAUUUAGCACACAGAACCGUGCAACGCGGGGAAAUUAUUAUUGUCAGAAUAAUAAUGGUUUAGCAUAAUUUAUUACGGGUCCACCAAAUAAGCAAAGGAUAGAUGUUAUUAGACAGAUGGAUUGGUAAAGCUUGGCAGGCAUCCACUCAGGAUCAGGCAAUGCUGGAUAAGGGGAGGAGGUGGAGUGGAGGAGAGGGGGUGGAGGGGUUUACAUCUUCCAAACCAAUCACUGGCCUGGCAGUUCAAUUACAAAGAAAUAAAGGGACAUUCAUCAUUCAAUUAAGCACCUGUCAAGCUUCACAAAGGAGGAAACUUCUAACCUGGUACUCCUGGGAGAAGAUGCUCAGCAGAGUGGACGGCGAUUGACUGGAACAAAAUAAAAGAUGGACAAAGUUAAUUACUGGAGUGCAUGGGGGGAGACAAAAGGCUAGUGAGCUUCAAAAGGUAGGCCCCGCUGCCCUGUAAUCUAAGAAAACACGAAAACAAGUGUGCAAAAGUUGUUCCAGACAGACACCUCAGACAAAGGCCAUGGCUAGGGCAUAGAGAGGGGAUAAGAGCAGGAAUGCUAGACACAGGAGAGGCAGUGGAAAGGCAUGUUUUGGUGUGGAGGGAAUAGCAGAUACAACAGUCUCAUGUGUUGGCAGGAUCCCUUUCACUUUCCAGACCCACAAAGCUGUAUCAGUGGCAUGUCCUGCUGGUAAAACACAAGGAACAGGAGGGGAGGGGGAGACUGAAAAGAAAACAGACUACAUUUCCUAUUAAUAAUGGAUGGGAAUUCAGUUCCAUUAGCAGUUGGGAACAUGCCGCUUAGUUCAUUGGCAACAUAUUGAAAUUCAUUUUGUGAGCAGCGAGGGAAGCCUCUUUGGUAGCUGUCUCUUAUUAAGGGGUUAGCAUGAAGAAAAGCCUUUUUUCUGGGGGGGGGGGGGUUAACUCAAUGUCAGUAGCAGCAUAUGGGACUCUAACAUUCCCAAUGAAACUGACAGGACUUUGAAAAUAAAAACUUUCCCAGCAGGAGGUCUCCCCCCCUCUCUUGUAGUCGGUCAUUUCCAAAGCUUCAUCCACUACUCAACUCUGUGUCAAACACCUGGCAAUGAAGCUACAUGGAAAGCAGCUCUUCCAGCAGGGAUUUCCUUUCAGUCUGUAUCUCAUUUCUCUCUUUCAAACCAUUGCACAGUUAACUCCUUGCACAGUUACAGACAGUGUCCACAUUGUGAGACACAGAAGCACUCAGUAACAGCUACCAAGACCUGGGACACAGUGCAAUCUCUUAACUUCUCAUGUGGAUCGAUAAAAACGACUGUAACUGUUUUCAAUUGUCCUCUGUGGAUAUUUCUACAUUGCUGCUUCUUAAAACACAAUUCAUUACUUCUGAUAUAUAUUUCCUACUGGAUUCAACACAAACAAAUUACAAUUCCAAUAAAUCUGCUUUUACAAUACAGAAAAGCAGUAUGAAUAAUUAA